ensembl:lncRNA
GAAUCUAUGAACCUGCUUACCCGAUCACAAACUCCUCUAUUUGCCAUGAAGAGAUAAGUCAUCAAUUACAGAACUCACACCUGCUCUGAGUAACAUUAUUGAUGGCUUGAGAGAAGGAAUGCAUAAUUUAAAUGCCUUGGGAAAGCUGGCAGCGGCUUGAGGAUAAAGGAAUUCAAAUGAGACAGAGGGUGGCCAGCCUAGAGAUUCCUGCAGGUUACUUUUUUGAGCAUCUUACAGCAUCUUCGGAUCAGCCAACAAAGAAAUUUCUUUUGGACACAGCAUGUGGUCAAAUGAAGAUUCUGUUCAAAGUGACAUGAAAUCAGAAAUAUUGGCUAUAUAACAGUAACCCAGAUAUUGAGUGGAAUGAAGAACAAACCUUCUGAGAACACCCAUGGAGAAGUUGCUCAUCUUUGUGGAUUCCUCUUUUUCUGACAUUAUUGGCAUUUUAGAAUCCUUGCUACUACCAGGGCCUUUUGAUCCCUUCACUGUGGUGCCACAAGAUUUGCCCUCUGUAUGUUGUGAGAACUUAAAAAGGAUUGUUUAAGGAGGGCAGCUUCUGUGUAAUUGUACAUCAGCCAUAUUUAGAAUGAUUAUGGCUUUUGUGACAUUGGAAUAAUGUGUUAUUAGCAGUAUUUUAAGGUUUCUAGGCUGGGAAAAUUGCAGUUCCUCCCUGGAUGGCAACAACAGCUGAAGCUGUAGUGAAGAUGAGGAAAAAGGUGGAUUUCACUACCACAUAACUAUUUAUUACGGGAUUCAUGCACUGGUUAAACGCUCACUCCCUCUGUGCUACAUCUUUUGUCACUGUACCAAUACAGACUCCAAGCCUGUCCUCUUCUCAGGACUCAGCAACAGGAACAUUUUACAAGGGGCAACACAAAUGCCAGCCAGGAAAUAAUAAUAAUCCCAUCAAUACAAUAAAUCCAAUUAAUUUACUAAGUACUAUGUAUUGAUUAUCAUCAGACCUAAAAUCCACAAUUCUUUUUGACACUUGCUACAUGUGUUACCCUGGUAACAUACAACUAUAUGUGUUCUAAAUGUUAUCUGGGCAAUUUCCAUGCACAGCAAUAAACAAGGUAAUUCAAAUUCUGCACAACUGUAAACUACUACAUACACAGACAAUUUUACUUCAUGUUCUCAAUAGUUGUUUUUUAAAAGAAGUUUUAAAUUUCUUUGUAGUACUAUAAAUAUUAUUCUUCUCUUUCCAGACUUAGGUAUUCUUUGGUAGUUAUUUGCCCUAAUAGUAGAAUAGGAAGGAAUCAGAAGUCAAAAAACAUCAGUAUCAAGUUUGUCCCUAUUCUCUUGAGUGUCAUUUAAAGAGGAACAUUUGAUCAGUACCAAACUUCUAAAGGGAAUACCAUUUCAAUGUUAAGACUAAUGAGACUAGUUUAAUCUCAUCCCUAUAAACAAAUCAGCUUAGGCCUAAUGAAAUCUUAUUUUUGUAAAUUAAGGCACAAAGGAAACAGUUCACUGUAAACAGACUUGUAGUAUACAUUGUUUAGAGACUAUUGACUUUCAAAUUAGCCUGCUUUUCAAACAUUUCACGUCAAAAAUAUAGUCAAAAUGCAAAUGUAGCAUAAACGGCUCUAUAAUAAAUGCUCAUUCAACAUUUAUUCUUCCUCAAAUCAUCUUUUAAAGCUCUUUCAUGCUAAUGUCUAGAAGAUGUGACAUUAGAAAAAUUGCUUUGACAUGCUAAGGGGCUCCAAGAUUAACAAAAAGAGAAAGAACAAGAUAAAGCUUUCAAAAGACCUAUUUCAGAGGAAUUAUUACUUCCUUUGAAAGUCUUCCAAGGUUGCAGUGCAUUUAAGCUUGUUGGCAUACAUGUAAAUGAAGGACUACAGAAGUAUUCCACUAAAUACAACUUGAAUUAAACCUUCAGGCUAAUGUUAGAGAAUGAGGAUAAAGGCCAGACCCUAGGCUGGCAACAACUCAUUUAAAAUGAAUUCUUUGAGAUAUCCAUGAGAGAGAAUUUUGAUAUUAUAUAUAUAUGUAUACACUCAUAUGCAUACACAAAACACAAGAAAUUAUCAAUGUAAACCCCAUAUAAAAUGGCUUGGACUGAUGGACCUUACUGAUUGAGCAGUAAGCAUUCUAGAUUAGUACAUCAGUGAAUUCUGAGCCACACUAUAAACCAGAAACAAUCUCAGCCAACAAUUUCUCACUCUCAUUGCAUAAAGAUGUACCACUUUGCCACAAUAAAGUCUCGAUUUCAUAACAAACAAAAAACAGGAAUGUAAUUAUCAUGAAAAAAAAUUGGCUUAUAAAACUUAAACUGGUUUAGACCUUCAGUCCUUUGACACCCAAGGAAACAUGAUUAAAGCCACUCCAGUUAUACCCUUCUCUUCAAGCUUCACUGGGAGAACACCACAGAGAAGAGAAUCCAUUCAACUGCAGGGGUUUAUAUUUAACCAACUUAAAAUAAAAUUAACCAUCUACUCAAAUCUGCCAUAUCUUUCCGAGCAGAACUAUUCAAGAAUUU